rnacentral:rRNA from 1 species
UACGGAGGGUGCAAGCGUUAUCCGGAUUCACUGGGUUUAAAGGGUGCGUAGGUGGGCUAGUAAGUCCGUGGUGAAAUCUCCAAGCUUAACUUGGAAACUGCCGUGGAUACUAUUAGUCUUGAAUCUCGUGGAGGUAAGCGGAAUAUGUCAUGUAGCGGUGAAAUGCUUAGAUAUGACAUAGAACACCGAUAGCGAAGGCAGCUUGCUACACGAGUAUUGACACUGAGGCACGCAAGCGUGGGGAUCAAACAGG